AUAAGAGCAGGGAGAUCCAGGGAGGGCUCCUAUUGGCUGUCCGGCUCCUGAGGGAGGGCUCGGACUCCCACAUGGGUCCUGAUGAUGAAGAUGAAGAUGUGCAGGGAACCAUCAUCAUCACUCAGUCCAGUUCUCUUAAUGCAAUCUGCUGGAGCCUGUUCAGAGACCAGAUACAACCUGUGGGAAUCAAAGCUCUUCUGAGGGAGAGCUCCAGCUCCACGAGGGCCCCACAGUCAAACUACACACAUGUAGAUCUAUCAAUCCCAUAAUAAUCAAUCCUGCAUCAGCACUUCAGUACAAAACAAUAACAGCUUCUGAAUUUUAUUUUAUUUUAGAAUUUGUGUAUUUUUAAGCACCGGAUAUUCUAAUUGUGCCUUUCUGGCUUCAUCCUAAACACAAAGAACAGACACUUAAAUGUUUAGAUUCACGUUUGUCUGACUCGUCCCGUAGAUUUAGAUCUCAGGGAACCGUCCUGUUGUUUUAUUUACAUGUUUAAAUCCUUUUCAUUAACUUUAUUCUCCUCUUUUAACUUCCGCUGUUUUCAACCACUUUUAUUUUUGCUUGAAUUGUUUUGAAUCUCCCCGUGUACGAACAGUGACUUAUGAAUAAAACAGCCUUGGCUACGCGGGGGAAAUCGACGAGUCCUCCGGCAGAUGGUCGGGUUCCUGACGGAGACCUGAUCUCACACGAAGAGACAAGAGGACACAGAGAUGGACCCACCUGACCAGUAGAUGAAAACUGUGCAGGUGGAGUGAGGUGAUGUUUUACAAAAGACAAAAGGAAGCGUUUUCCUGGACGUAAUGGAGCCAGGAUGAAUCAUCAGGCCUGGUAGAAGAGUUACUCACCAGGAAAUCAUCUUUGGGGUCAAAGGUGACACUGAGGACCGGCGCUUCGUGACCCCGCAGCGUCUUCUGCUGGCUGCUGUCCGACACCUCCACCACCUUGACCAUGAAGUCGCUGAGGGAGACAGGGGAAACAACUGAAUAAACCUGGCGUGUGCAGGGUUCGUCCCUUUCAACACGUGAUUAACUGCCAGCGAGCGGCGGCUGAACCAGAAAGGGCGUCGGCUUGAAACAACACGGGGGCCAAAUUGUCGAAUCGACCCUGAUCUCUUCCAGAAUGCCAAAUCCUCCGAAACACCCUCAGAUGCCUGAAUCUUUAUCAAUCAAUACCACAGCAGAAAUUACAAGUGUGAAAAUAGCAGCAUCAAUACGGCGCCACGCUCGGUGCUUUCAUCGCUGUGAUCAACCUGUUCAGGGAAAAUUGAUUCUGGCAGCAGACAAACAUUUAUCUCCAACCAGGACUAAUCGUGAACUCAAUCCAAAGUGCUGCCGCGCCUACGAGCUGGAAACAGCAUCCUGCGCUGGAACAACAACACCGAACCUAAUCGGAUCCCGGUGUGGGUUAGUCGUGGUGCACACACACACACCGGUGAACACAACAGACACGUUACGCACGACAGCUUCAGCGGCCGCUGCAGGAGACGCCGGAAGCAGAUGAACGUGAACGGUUUGACAAAGUGAAACUGACAU